rnacentral:lncRNA from 1 species
UACUUUUUCAGAUAGGAGGAUGCCAAGAGAAGAAAAGCAUUUUCUCUGUCUUCAAAGAGGAAAAGAUGAGCAUAGUGAAUUUCGGUGUUGUAUUUAUUCAGCUUGGACGUUUAAAAGAUACUUGGCUUUCCCAUACUAUCUUGACAUGCAUUUUCUGUUACUUCUACCUGGGAUGCUGGCACUGCCCACCACACACUGUUGAAGACUCAGUUCAG